rnacentral:rRNA from 1 species
GACGAACGCUGGCGGCGUGCUUAACACAUGCAAGUCGAACGAAGUGGCGAACGGGUGAGUAACGCGUAAUCAACCUGCCCUUCAGAGGGGUACAACAGUUGGACACGACUGCUAAUACCGCAUCCCGAAGGAGGGGUUUGCGUAUGAGUAGCUAGGUGGAUGGGUAACGGCCCACCAAGGCGAUGAUCAGUAGCCGGGCUGAGAGGGUGAACGGCCACAUGGGGACGGAGUCAAGGCCCAGACUCCUACGGGAGGCAGCAGGUGGGAAUCGUCCGCAAUGGACGAAAGUCUGACUGGGCAACGCCGCGUGAGUGAGGACGGCCUUCGGGUUGUAAAGCUCUGUUAAUCGGGACGCGGUACCGGAAUAGAAAGCCACGGCUAACUACGUGCCAGCCGCCGCGGUAAUUC